AAUUAUUCGCAAUAACAAAACUGAUUAGUGAAGAAUUAGUAUUUGGAAGAAAAAUUGAAAAAAAUACAAUAUGAUUUUUAAAUUGGGAUUUCUUGUGGCUGUUACGCUGACUAUAUUCAUAAUUACUGAUGCCUCAGUACUGUCGUGUGACAAUGUGCGAUGUAGAGAAAAUGAAACUUGUACCAGUUGUGCGCCAAACUCCUGUAACACUUAUUCUUGUGAUAAUAGAGAUGGUUCGACGUGUAAAUUUGCAUGCAAAGAAUUGAAAAGACCAACUUGCAUCUGUCUACCUAAUUAUCAUCGUGAAACUUCAAGAGAUGCAUGCAAACCAUUGGAAUGUGAAAAAAAAGACUAAUUGAAAAUAAUAUAUUGAAGAUUUUGCUCCAAUUCAAUUUAUAUUCAAUAUAACAUAAAUGUCUUCAUUGAACAAAUGUGUUGAUUUCUAUUUGAAGAAUAAAUUUAACUAAAAAUUUGUCAUUUGGAUAUAUACAUAGUA